GCAGUUAUGGUGUUAAUGGCAGCAUAAUAGACUUCCACUCUUUAGGUCUGAGUUCGAAUCUCAGUAACUGCU
rnacentral:tRNA from 1 species